rnacentral:rRNA from 1 species
CCUACGGGUGGCUGCAGUCGAGAAUCUUUGGCAAUGGGCGCAAGCCUGACCAAGCGACGCCGCGUGCGGGAUGAAGGCCUUCGGGUUGUAAACCGCUGUCGAGAGGGAGAAAGGUCCGGUCCGCCGGGCUUGAUCGACCUCUGGAGGAAGCACGGGCUAAGUUCGUGCCAGCAGCCGCGGUAAGACGAACCGUGCGAACGUUGUUCGGAAUCAUUGGGCUUAAAGGGCGCGUAGGCGGCUCGCCUUGUCUGCGGUGAAAUCCCCCGGCUCAACCGGGGGACGGCCGCGGAGACGGGCGGGAUCGAGUGCGGGAGGGGCAGGUGGAAUUUCCGGUGGAGCGGUGAAAUGCGUUGAGACCGGAAGGAACGCCGGCGGCGAAAGCGACCUGCUGGACCGCAACUGACGCUGAGGCGCGAAAGCCAGGGGAGCGAACGGGAUUA